AGAGAAGCCAGAGACAGAACAGAUAAAGGAGGCUAAUCAGAGACCCGAAGACAGAGGGGUGGACAGGCAGCCUCCAAGCCCCUCCGCCCUGCAGCUAGCUGGCGCCCCCGACAGCCCUUCUAGCCAGGUCCCCCUCGGCCAGCAGCCCAGACCUGGAACUCCAGAGGGAGCUUGUAAGAGGGUCCCCACAGGUUUCCCUGCUCUGGGGUAUUCCUGGCCAGGGUCCUGAGACAGGUAACAAUGUUGAUGCUGCUGCUGAUGAUGCUGCUGCUGCUGCUGCUGAUGAUGAUGAUGAUAGCCACCAGAUAGGAAAUGCUAACUAUAGCCCAGGACCCAGCCAACCCUUUUCCUCUAGGUCUCAAACCUUUUCCUGGUUGCUGAAAAGCCCCAGCGAGGGCCCCAGACCCAGCGCCUUUGGUACCCUCGGGAUGCUCCGCUGGGAUGUACCCAGGAGGUCUCGGGGAUUCUGACGGAGACUGAAGGCCCCUGUAUCGUCUCCUUGCACGGACGUUUCUCUGGGACCCCUCCUGCCCCUUUCAGGAAUGCUGACAAAGCCCACACCAGGUCUCUAAUGUCUCUAUCCCUCCUGUCACAACCACACAGACACACCUUCAGACAUUUUCUCCUUCCACACGCUCGUGCUGGCAUCAGAGCCUUUCUUCUCCAACCAAGGCAAAGCUGAGACCAAGGGGGUGCAGUCUUAAGCCACGGGUCUCCCCUGGCCUGGCUUGGGGGUCUGGUCCCAGAGAAGCUCCCUCUUCUCCCUCUUCCCCUUCCCCUCCCCCUGAUUCUCCAGAGCUUCCCCCUUCGGUGAAAGAAAUACUUUGCGAGGAUGUUAGGUCUUUGUUGGGGAGGAUGAGGACGAAGCAUAAAGGGUCUGAAAAAGUGAAAUGGGGUGUGUGGGGUGGAGAGAGGGAGGGGGCAGCGAGGGGAAGAGGACGGAUUCUCCGUAUCUAAAAGGGAAUUAAAGUGCUUUUGCUGGAGUGAAGAAAUCAGCUGAAGAAUGGCCCGAGAACAAAAGCAGAAAGUCUGUGGACAAGCCCGGCUGAAUAGGGCCCGAUCCCCUUAAGUUUGUAAGCCCCCCUCCCCCGCGCUUUAAGCCUUCCUUACUUACUUCUGCUGAGAACAAACGCCAGGGAGGAAAACACAGCCAGGGGAGGGGAAGAGGGGAAUGGCAAAACUAGGGGAGAAAAACCUAAAAUAAAAGGUAAUCCCUCCGGCACUUUGCCCUCCUAGAGCCUACCAGGGAUCUGAUUAAAGGUCCUAGAUGAAGCCAUUCCGCUAUUCACAUGCAAGAAGCAGGAUUUACAAGAAAAGAGAGAGGGAAGAAUAGGCGGAGAGGAGAAAAGGGGAAUUAUUUGUGUCCCUUAAUGCUUGUUAAGCACUCCUCUUUGCUACACACCAGACAAGACAAGGCUCAGAACUCACAGAAAAAUCUUGGGCAACCCUCCCCCGAGCCCCCUCGGCCUCUGCCCAGCCCGAGGCCAAAGUGACCUACAGACACACAGACACACAGACACACAGACACACACACACACACACACACACACACAUAUACACGCAGGCACACAAAAACAGCCGUGGGCAAAGCUGCUGGGCCAAGCCAGACUCACAAAGAGAAUAGCAAUUAACCUCCGUCCCUGGCUGACAGUGAUCUAAUCAAACCAGCCCUCCUGGGCUCUUCCGGUGCUCAGAGCUUGUGGUCCAGGCUGCAAACUGUUUGGGACAGGCCGGGAGAGAAAGUGAGGAUCCGGAAGUCCUGAGGGAUGGUUGUGACUUUCUGAUGAUGCUGAAGAAGCUGGUCGAGAAGUCGUUCAAAGAUGCUCUACUGUGUCCUGCCUCAGGACCCUUGCUCAUGCCAGGCCUCUGCCUGGGAUGCGCUUCCCCACCCUCCUGACAGUUAACUUGCAGCUCCGACUGGGGAAGGCUUCCUCAAGCAAUCCUCCUUCUCCCACAGACCACCUCACACUUCCUUGUUCUUGGCCCUCCAAAGACGCUGGAACUUGGUAAUUUACAAUAAAUGUGUGAAACAUUAUAACUUAUAAUUCAUAAGGUAUAAAUACAUUUAUAAAUAAAUGUGUAAACAC
ensembl:lncRNA